UUAAGCGACUAAGCGUACACGGUGGAUGCCCUGGCAGUCAGAGGCGAUGAAGGACGUGCUAAUCUGCGAUAAGCGUCGGUAAGGUGAUAUGAACCGUUAUAACCGGCGAUUUCCGAAUGGGGAAACCCAGUGUGUUUCGACACACUAUCAUUAACUGAAUCCAUAGGUUAAUGAGGCGAACCGGGGGAACUGAAACAUCUAAGUACCCCGAGGAAAAGAAAUCAACCGAGAUUCCCCCAGUAGCGGCGAGCGAACGGGGAGCAGCCCAGAGCCUGAAUCAGUGUGUGUGUUAGUGGAAGCGUCUGGAAAGGCGCGCGAUACAGGGUGACAGCCCCGUACACAAAAAUGCACAUGCUGUGAGCUCGAUGAGUAGGGCGGGACACGUGGUAUCCUGUCUGAAUAUGGGGGGACCAUCCUCCAAGGCUAAAUACUCCUGACUGACCGAUAGUGAACCAGUACCGUGAGGGAAAGGCGAAAAGAACCCCGGCGAGGGGAGUGAAAAAGAACCUGAAACCGUGUACGUACAAGCAGUGGGAGCACAGAGCAAUCUGUGUGACUGCGUACCUUUUGUAUAAUGGGUCAGCGACUUAUAUUCUGUAGCAAGGUUAACCGAAUAGGGGAGCCGAAGGGAAACCGAGUCUUAACUGGGCGUUAAGUUGCAGGGUAUAGACCCGAAACCCGGUGAUCUAGCCAUGGGCAGGUUGAAGGUUGGGUAACACUAACUGGAGGACCGAACCGACUAAUGUUGAAAAAUUAGCGGAUGACUUGUGGCUGGGGGUGAAAGGCCAAUCAAACCGGGAGAUAGCUGGUUCUCCCCGAAAGCUAUUUAGGUAGCGCCUCGUGAAUUCAUCUCCGGGGGUAGAGCACUGUUUCGGCAAGGGGGUCAUCCCGACUUACCAACCCGAUGCAAACUGCGAAUACCGGAGAAUGUUAUCACGGGAGACACACGGCGGGUGCUAACGUCCGUCGUGAAGAGGGAAACAACCCAGACCGCCAGCUAAGGUCCCAAAGUCAUGGUUAAGUGGGAAACGAUGUGGGAAGGCCCAGACAGCCAGGAUGUUGGCUUAGAAGCAGCCAUCAUUUAAAGAAAGCGUAAUAGCUCACUGGUCGAGUCGGCCUGCGCGGAAGAUGUAACGGGGCUAAACCAUGCACCGAAGCUGCGGCAGCGACGCUUAUGCGUUGUUGGGUAGGGGAGCGUUCUGUAAGCCUGCGAAGGUGUGCUGUGAGGCAUGCUGGAGGUAUCAGAAGUGCGAAUGCUGACAUAAGUAACGAUAAAGCGGGUGAAAAGCCCGCUCGCCGGAAGACCAAGGGUUCCUGUCCAACGUUAAUCGGGGCAGGGUGAGUCGACCCCUAAGGCGAGGCCGAAAGGCGUAGUCGAUGGGAAACAGGUUAAUAUUCCUGUACUUGGUGUUACUGCGAAGGGGGGACGGAGAAGGCUAUGUUGGCCGGGCGACGGUUGUCCCGGUUUAAGCGUGUAGGCUGGUUUUCCAGGCAAAUCCGGAAAACUAAGGCUGAGGCGUGAUGACGAGGCACUACGGUGCUGAAGCAACAAAUGCCCUGCUUCCAGGAAAAGCCUCUAAGCAUCAGGUAACAUCAAAUCGUACCCCAAACCGACACAGGUGGUCAGGUAGAGAAUACCAAGGCGCUUGAGAGAACUCGGGUGAAGGAACUAGGCAAAAUGGUGCCGUAACUUCGGGAGAAGGCACGCUGAUAUGUAGGUGAAGUCCCUCGCGGAUGGAGCUGAAAUCAGUCGAAGAUACCAGCUGGCUGCAACUGUUUAUUAAAAACACAGCACUGUGCAAACACGAAAGUGGACGUAUACGGUGUGACGCCUGCCCGGUGCCGGAAGGUUAAUUGAUGGGGUUAGCGCAAGCGAAGCUCUUGAUCGAAGCCCCGGUAAACGGCGGCCGUAACUAUAACGGUCCUAAGGUAGCGAAAUUCCUUGUCGGGUAAGUUCCGACCUGCACGAAUGGCGUAAUGAUGGCCAGGCUGUCUCCACCCGAGACUCAGUGAAAUUGAACUCGCUGUGAAGAUGCAGUGUACCCGCGGCAAGACGGAAAGACCCCGUGAACCUUUACUAUAGCUUGACACUGAACAUUGAGCCUUGAUGUGUAGGAUAGGUGGGAGGCUUUGAAGUGUGGACGCCAGUCUGCAUGGAGCCGACCUUGAAAUACCACCCUUUAAUGUUUGAUGUUCUAACGUUGACCCGUAAUCCGGGUUGCGGACAGUGUCUGGUGGGUAGUUUGACUGGGGCGGUCUCCUCCUAAAGAGUAACGGAGGAGCACGAAGGUUGGCUAAUCCUGGUCGGACAUCAGGAGGUUAGUGCAAUGGCAUAAGCCAGCUUGACUGCGAGCGUGACGGCGCGAGCAGGUGCGAAAGCAGGUCAUAGUGAUCCGGUGGUUCUGAAUGGAAGGGCCAUCGCUCAACGGAUAAAAGGUACUCCGGGGAUAACAGGCUGAUACCGCCCAAGAGUUCAUAUCGACGGCGGUGUUUGGCACCUCGAUGUCGGCUCAUCACAUCCUGGGGCUGAAGUAGGUCCCAAGGGUAUGGCUGUUCGCCAUUUAAAGUGGUACGCGAGCUGGGUUUAGAACGUCGUGAGACAGUUCGGUCCCUAUCUGCCGUGGGCGCUGGAGAACUGAGGGGGGCUGCUCCUAGUACGAGAGGACCGGAGUGGACGCAUCACUGGUGUUCGGGUUGUCAUGCCAAUGGCACUGCCCGGUAGCUAAAUGCGGAAGAGAUAAGUGCUGAAAGCAUCUAAGCACGAAACUUGCCCCGAGAUGAGUUCUCCCUGACUCCUUGAGAGUCCUGAAGGAACGUUGAAGACGACGACGUUGAUAGGCCGGGUGUGUAAGCGCAGCGAUGCGUUGAGCUAACCGGUACUAAUGAACCGUGAGGCUUAACCUU
rnacentral:rRNA from 1 species